GUUUGAUCCUGGCUCAGGACGAACGCUGGCGGCGUGCUUAACACAUGCAAGUCUACGAGAACGAGGUAGCAAUAUCUUUAGUAAAGUGGCGUACGGGUGCGUAACACGUAAGUAAUCUACCUUUGGGUUCGGAAUAACUUCGGGAAAUCGGAGCUAAUACCGGAUAAUGCAGCGGCACCGCAUGGUGAUGUUGUUAAAGUUUGUGUAAUGCCUAAAGAUGAACUUGCGUCUGAUUAGCUAGUUGGUAAGGUAACGGCUUACCAAGGCGACGACGGGUAGGGGACCUGAGAGGGUGGCCCCCCACAAUGGAACUGAAACACGGUCCAUACACCUACGGGUGGCAGCAGUAGGGAAUAUUGCACAAUGGGCGAAAGCCUGAUGCAGCAACGCCGCGUGCGCGAAGAAGGUCUUCGGAUCGUAAAGCGCUUUUCUGGGAGAUGAGAAAGGACAGUAUCCCAGGAAUAAGUCUCGGCUAACUACGUGCCAGCAGCCGCGGUAACACGUAGGAGGCGAGCGUUAUCCGGAUUCACUGGGCGUAAAGCGCGUGCAGGCGGUUCGGUAAGUUGGGCGUGAAAUCUCCCGGCUCAACUGGGAGAGGUCGUUCAAUACUACCGGACUUGAGAGCGAUAGAGGAAAAUGGAAUUCCCGGUGUAGUGGUGAAAUGCGUAGAUAUCGGGAGGAACACCAGUGGCGAAAGCGAUUUUCUGGAUCGUUUCUGACGCUCAGACGCGAAAGCUAGGGUAGCAAACGGGAUUAGAGACCCCGGUAGUCCUAGCCGUAAACGAUGUGAACUUGGCGUCGGUGGCUUAAACUCCAUCGGUGCCGAAGCCAACGCGAUAAGUUCACCGCCUGGGGACUACGACCGCAAGGUUAAAACUCAAAGGAAUUGACGGGGGCCCGCACAAGCAGCGGAGCGUGUGGUUUAAUUCGAUGCUACACGAAGAACCUUACCCGGGUUUGACAUACAGGUGGUAGGGAUCCGAAAGGUGACCGACCCGCAAGGGAGCCUGAACAGGUGUUGCAUGGCUGUCGUCAGCUCGUGUCGUGAGAUGUUCGGUUAAGUCCGCUAACGAGCG
rnacentral:rRNA from 1 species